CCAGCUUGCCGGUUGUUCUGUACUGUAACUGAGGGAGAGCGGAGAAAAUAAAUAUCAGCACACACACAAACACGAACGAGCGGAGACGCACACACGUGCAUCUUGUUAAGCAAAGACAUCCAAAACAUCAGAACUUUUGGUGCUGUCUCUUUUGGCCGAGGAGUGCUGUUUCACUGGUUAAAGGUAGCCUGUGGAUAUGUUCUGAGUGGUAUGGAGCAGCUCAAAGGUCUGAGAGGCAAACGCUGGGCUGCUAUUAGCGUGCCCUUUGCUAGCUGGCGGGGAGGCCCCUGAACAUGUUCCAGGCUGACCUACAUGCUGAGAGCCGCACCCCGACACAAAGGAGGGCAUCGCGUCCCCCAGCCCGCUCCUCCAAGCCCGUCUGAGUCCGAUGCCGGGGACAGUCAGCCGAGAACAGGAAGUAAAGGAGGAAGAAGGAACGGGAGGAGGAGGGAGAGGAACAGGAGGAGGAGGGAGAGGGAGGACGAGGAGGAGAGGACCUUGGCCCCGUGCCCUGAGGACUGCGUGGUCAUCCUCUAAACGCAGCCGAGGUGGGAGGCAAGCUCCACUGGUGACGCUGGAGGGGGGAGCCAUCCUCAGCCUCCACUGGUGAUGGUGGAGGGGGGAGCCAUCCUCAGCCUCCACUGGUGAUGGUGGGAGCCAGCCUUCUUAGCCUCCACGCUGGUGGAGGUGGGAGCCAGCCUUCUUAGCCUCCACGCUGGUGGAGGUGGGAGCCAGCCGUCCCCAGCCUCCAUGCUGAGGAUCUCCGUGUUACUGUACAUUCUGUUUUUUUCCCAGCCCGCCCACGCCUCAGAGGAUAUGCACAGACUUAUUCUGACAGUAAUGCGGCAAUUUGUCCUGCUGUGGAAGUGUUAUUUAUUUAGGUUCCUCCAUAAAAGAUUUGUCAUCACCUGUAGUAAAGUAGUCCAGCAUGAGGUAUGAAUGCACAGAGUAUGAUGUUUAAUAGUAAUUGAAAAGAGUGAGAUGUGCUAUAGGGUAUUUUUUAUCAUUUCAAGAGGAGCAGUGUACGUUAUUUUCCUCGUAACCUUGGAUAUUUUCAUCAACAACACCAUGCUGAGCCCACCAAGG
ensembl:lncRNA